GAAACACACGAUGGCAGUGAUGCGAGUGCAGUAUGAAGGGCCACAGUCCUCGGCAGGCCUAGCCAGCUUCCUCAAAGGAUUUGGCAACGAAGGUUUAGUCAUGGUUGAGGCCUUGGGGCUUUUUGAGGUAAAGCUAAAGACAAAGAGUGAAUCCCCAUCAGCAGGUUGGGCUUGGUCAAGAACAUUAGUGUCCAAUCUCUAGAAGAGACCUGCCUGUUCUCCCCACCCAUCAAGGAAUCUGACUUUUCCUGGGCACAUCUGGAAAGGAGAAGGUUCUAAAGAUCUUGCCAGUGCAGAAGCAGACUUGGAUUGGAUAGUGGACCAGGUUCAAGGCUUCUGUCACUGUUGGGGACUACACAGGCAUGUGGCUCUUGGUGUUAAGUGCUUUAACAGGUAGCCACUGCCAUCUGAGGGGCCAUCAACUUAGUUAGCCAAGCAUUCUGUCAUGCCUGUGUGGAGAAGCUACUGUGGGAACAAAAUUGACAAGCUCCACAUCAUCCCAGGUAAGGUGAUAGGCUACUGUGGCUCAGUACUGAUGUCUCAUCUGGGGCAGAGGCACUGACAUUAUCUCUGUUUCUAUGCCAAGGCCACCUUUGAUGCUCUCUCCAAGACCUCUGGAAAGAGACUGUGUUCACCAAGUCUCCUUAUCAGGAAUUCACUGACCAUCUUGUGAAAACCCAUACCAGAGUGUCCAUUCAGAGGACCCAAUGUUCAGCUCUG
rnacentral:lncRNA from 1 species